UGAGUAACGCGUAUGCAACCUACCUAUCAGAGGGGAAUAACCCGGCGAAAGUCGGACUAAUACCGCAUAAAACAGGGGCACCGCAUGGUGAUAUUUGUUAAAGAGAUUCGCUGAUAGAUGGGCAUGCGUUCCAUUAGGUAGUUGGUGAGGUAACGGCUCACCAAGCCGACGAUGGAUAGGGGAACUGAGAGGUUGGUCCCCCACACUGGUACUGAGACACGGACCAGACUCCUACGGGAGGCAGCAGUGAGGAAUAUUGGUCAAUGGGCGAGAGCCUGAACCAGCCAAGUCGCGUGGAAAAGGAAGAAGGAUCUAUGGUUCGUAAACUUCUUUUGCAGGGGAAUAAAGUGCAGGACGUGUCCUGUUUUGUAUGUACCCUGAGAAUAAGGAUCGGCUAACUCCGUGCCAGCAGCGGC
rnacentral:rRNA from 1 species